rnacentral:rRNA from 1 species
GACGAACGCUGGCGGCGUGCUUAACACAUGCAAGUCGAGCGGUAAGGCCCUUUCGGGGGUACACGAGCGGCGAACGGGUGAGUAACACGUGGGUGACCUGCCCUCAGCUCUGGGAUAAGCCUGGGAAACCGGGUCUAAUACUGGAUAUGACUCCAUGACGCAUGUUGUGGGGUGGAAAGCCUUGUGCGGCUGAGGAUGGGCCCGCGGCCUAUCAGCUUGUUGGUGGGGUGAGGCCUACCAAGGCGACGACGGGUAGCCGGCCUGAGAGGGCGACCGGCCACACUGGGACUGAGACACGGGCCCAGACUCCUACGGGAGGCAGCAGUGGGGAAUCUUGCGCAAUGGGCGAAAGCCUGACGCAGCGACGCCGCGUGAGGGAUGACGGCCU